GAAUUAGCUUUGCAUUUCUAUUAGACCAGUACGAUCGUGGCGUCACCUACAACUACUCGACGUAUAACUAAUUGGUAUAAACAAGAAAUUUUCAUUUAUACGGUCUAACCACUGAGGUGCACACGAUGCCUGGCGCUGGCGUAUUUUUGAUCCUAGGCGCAGUCGCUUUCGCAACUUUCUGGACAGCCAAGUUCAUAUCCGAAGUUGGUGAAAUUGAUAAGGAUAAACACGCUACCGACCUGCCACUGCGCGAGAUUCACUUUUAGGACAACUAGACACAGACAAUUCUCUACACAUCAUGGAAAAUAUGCAGAAUGCCUUUGGUUGGAGCUUUGGGUCUGUCGUCAUCCAUCAAGGUGGAAUCGUGUCUUCGAGGUUACGACGUGACUAAGCAGACUUUAGAUAUUAAAGUAGUACAAUUAAAUAACUAAAACUUUAAUUUUUAAAGUAUGACCGAACAAAAUAAUUUCGUCGUUGUAUCAAUAACUUUAAUUGAUUAUAAUGAACAGUGAUAUUGUGUACUAACUUAAUAAAUUAUGUGAAACAAGA